UACGAAGGGGGCUAGCGUUGUUCGGAAUUACUGGGCGUAAAGCGCACGUAGGCGGAUACUUAAGUUAGGGGUGAAAUCCCGGGGCUCAACCCCGGAACUGCCUUUAAUACUGGGUAUCUCGAGUUCGAGAGAGGUGAGUGGAAUUCCGAGUGUAGAGGUGAAAUUCGUAGAUAUUCGGAGGAACACCAGUGGCGAAGGCGGCUCACUGGCUCGAUACUGACGCUGAGGUGCGAAAGCGUGGGGAGCAGACAGG
rnacentral:rRNA from 1 species